rnacentral:siRNA from 1 species
AGAUAAAAAUAUAAGCUCGAAAAA